rnacentral:rRNA from 1 species
AGCGGCGAGCGAAGCGGGAAGAGCUCAAAUUUAUAAUCUGGCACCUUCGGUGUCCGAGUUGUAAUCUCUAGAAAUGUUUUCCGCGUUGGACCGCACACAAGUCUGUUGGAAUACAGCGGCAUAGUGGUGAGACCCCCGUAUAUGGUGCGGACGCCCAGCGCUUUGUGAUACAUUUUCGAAGAGUCGAGUUGUUUGGGAAUGCAGCUCAAAUUGGGUGGUAAAUUCCAUCUAAAGCUAAAUAUUGGCGAGAGACCGAUAGCGAACAAGUACCGUGAGGGAAAGAUGAAAAGCACUUUGGAAAGAGAGUUAACAGUACGUGAAAUUGUUGGAAGGGAAACGCUUGAAGUCAGACUUGCUUGCCGAGCAAUCGGUUUGCAGGCCAGCAUCAGUUUUCCGGGAUGGAUAAUGGUAGAGAGAAGGUAGCAGUUUCGGCUGUGUUAUAGCUCUCUGCUGGAUACAUCUUGGGGGACUGAGGAACGCAGUGUGCCUUUGGCGGGGGUUUCGACCUCUUCACACUUAGGAUGCUGGUGGAAUGGCUUUAAACGACCCGUCUUGAAACACGGACCAAGGAGUCUAACAUGCUUGCGAGUAUUUGGGUGUCAAACCCGGAUGCGUAAUGAAAGUGAAUGGAGGUGGGAACCGCAAGGUGCACCAUCGACCGAUCUGGAUUUUUAAUGAUGGAUUUGAGUAAGAGCACGUAUGUUGGGACCCGAAAGAUGGUGAACUAUGCCUGAAUAGGGCGAAGCCAGAGGAAACUCUGGUGGAGGCUCGUAGCGGUUCUGACGUGCAAAUCGAUCGUCAAAUUUGGGUAUAGGGGCGAAAGACUAAUCGAACCAUCUAGUAGCUGGUUCCUGCCGAAGUUUCCCUCAGGAUAGCAGAAACUCACAUCAGUUCUAUGAGGUAAAGCGAAUGAUUAGAGGCCUUGGGGUUGAAACAACCUUAACCUAUUCUCAAACUUUAAAUAUGUAGGAAGUCCUUGCUACUUAAUUGAGCGAGGACAU